rnacentral:ncRNA from 1 species
CAGGGUGGGAUUAAUGCGUUAAGUGCUACUAUACGGGACGUUGAUAGUAGACGAAGAAUUAGUUCGCGAUAUUAAUCCGCGUCCACUG